rnacentral:rRNA from 1 species
AGUGAACGCUGGCGGCGUGCCUAAUACAUGCAAGUCGAACGGAGUGGCGCACGGGUGAGUAAUGUAUAUCUAAUCUGCCCUACACUAGAGGACAACAGCUGGAAACGACUGCUAAUACUCUAUAGUGUAGGAUGAGGCUAUAAUGUAUCAGCUAGUUGGUGAGGUAAUGGCGCACCAAGGUUAUGACGCAUAACUGGUCUGAGAGGAUGAUGAGUCACACUCGAACUGAGACACGAUGCAGACUCCUACGGGAGUGAGCAGUAGGGAAUAGUGCUCAAGGGGGGAGACCCUGAAACAGCAACGCCGCGUGAAGGAUGACAAUUUGCGAAGCGUAAACUCCGUUUGUUAGGGAAGCGGUACCUAACGAAGAAGCACCGGCUAACUCCGUGCCAGCAGCCGCGGUAAUAC